rnacentral:lncRNA from 1 species
AUGAGCUCUACAGCAUCCACGGAUUGUGAGAAGAGUUCUGCACAGUGCGAGCAUGAGUCGACACGUUUCUCAAGAAAAGAAACGGCCCUUGUAACUGUCGGAGGACCUGUGUGCUGUACAAAUGAGAGUGUAAUAAGCUGUGAGUCCAGCCUUGGCCAUCGGUAAUGACAACGUCAAGCUGUUCUCCGGUACCUGCUUUCUGGGAUGGAGAAUUUAAGGAAGUGGAGCAAUACGCAAUGUCAUCUGGGGGACCAAGAGUGUGGUUUGAAGGGGACCUCACUGGGAAUGCAUAUGUUCAAACAUGCGGUCCAGGAUGUGAAGACUUGUUUCGAGCAGAACAGCUUCCUGUUGGAGGAAGCUUUUUGGAUCUGCUAGGCAGAAGUGGACUGUUUUUCUUGAGCCUUCUGAAUUCCAAACUUUCUGUGGAGUGUUUUGUGGGAAGCAUCUUGUUUCACCUCAUGUUAAAGCAGGGUCACCAGCUUUUGCCACUACCUAGACAGCAGUACCCAAGCUAACAACAUGCUGCAGGUUAUAUCAUGUCUUGCUCUCUCUGUUGGUCUUAAUUAUAUCCAUUUAAUGACUGUGAUCAUGAACAUUGCCGACAAUCUUGUGGACAAUAUAAGCCAUGGGUAUUGGCUAAAUAUAUCAUGAUUUUGAGAAGGU